UUUCACAAAACUUGUCGCUUGAGUUGUGGCAAAUGUGUUCCUUCUAUUGUGAUUGAGUUCUUGACCAUAGGAGUGCAACAAAUGCAGAAUUUGGAUCAUGGAAUUGCAAGUGGAUUCAACCACGAAAGUGUUGGGAAUUCUCUGUAAGUUCUUAUGAUCCGAAAUUAUUUUCAAGCAUACUGCGUCAUCUUACAUUUCUGAUGUACUAUACGUUUCCUUCUUUCCAUUCUUGUCCACUUCUAUGCAUGACAAAGACACGUGAAGUGGGAAGUUCCACGUCAGUUUUCUUCAUCGAUUUAUAUAUAUAUUUUUCUCGAAGUAGUGAAACUGAUCACAUAUUUCCUCGUGAUAACUAGGUGACAUAAUUGUAUUUUGGCGUUUUACACCGCCCCAGCGAGACAGAUAUAGACAUGAAGGGGCCAUUGCUAUUCAAUCAAUCAAAGGUGAGUGGUGGUGGGUGGUGGAUGUGUCUUUCACCUAGCACUAACUCCAAAUAUUAAGAGAUGAGGUUCAUAUGGAGAUAACGUUAGGCAACCCCCCACCUAUAUAUGUUUUGUCUUUAAUUCAAUUAACUGCUCAUCGAUACUAUAUAGGAAUGGCAACGGGACCAGAAUGGGGUGCAUUGAUCAUUCUCAUCCCUCUACUCGUUGGGUUUUUUCACCUUGUCUCUGUUAAGAUUUGGAGUUCCAUCUUAAAUCAUUAACCUUGUUAAGAGGAAUAAUCCAAGACCUUAUAAGUUGGUUUAUAUUUUCAUCUUUAUUUGAUGUGAGAUUUAUAUCUUUUAACAAGUUUUCACAAGAUAGUGGCUCGUUUGAGCAGAUCAAUUUGGAAAUCCGUAUGCUCAUUUAUACUUACUUAGAUCAAAUCGCUUGUUAGAACUUAACGGGCUCUGAUACCAUAUUAAGAUUUGGAGUUCUAUCUUAAAAGGUUAACCUUGUAAGAGGAGCAGCUCAAUACCUUAUAAGUUGGUCUAUAUUUUUAUCUUUAUUCUAUAUGAAAUUUAUAUCCCUUAACAUCCCAACCCUAUUCCUAGUUAAAGCGAGGCAAGACAAGUUCAUUUAUUUAUUUAUUUAUUUUUACAUUUUUUAUAUCUUUAAUUAGUGAAUAAUAUUCCAUUUUUUUCCUAAUUUAUUAAGAACAACACAUGUUUUCUUUAUAAAUGAUAAUAAAUCUUUUCUUUUUGUUUGAUGAAAAACUUGAAAUCAAUUUUGAAUAGGGUGGGUACCGCGGAGGCGAUCAUAUUUUCUUUCCCCGAUUUGGGGCAAUACCCAUCAUCGCCUCAUUCGGGAUAGGACCCACGAGUAUUGAGUUAAACAGAUUUUUUUAUCAUUCCUAUGUUGGUAUAUAUAUAUAUGUAGCAGUUGUGCGUGUAUAUAUUAUAAAUUAUUCAAUUCAACAGUCUCCUCCAUUGAUACGAGUGUUACUUUGUUGUAUCAACAUGAAGAAGAAGACGGCUCUUCUUUGGCUGUUCCUAUUCUUCUCAGCCUUCUUGUUUCCUCUCUCAGCAUCAUCAUCAAGUAAGCCCCAACAUUUCAUAAUCUUCAUAUGAUAUAUAUUCAUUCUUAUCUCUCUCUCUCUCUCUUAAAAUUAUUGCAGGAAGCCUCAGUUCAAUCACGGAUCAUUUUCAGGUUCUUCUUCCUUUCCAUUCAUAUUCUUUUCCCCUUUCUUAGUAAUAUCAUUAUUGGAUUUUCUGUUCAGUUUGGUAAUUUAAAUGUGGAGUAGAUUGCACUGGAGACAGGAGAGGAGAAAGAAUUAUACAGAGAAAGAAGAAUGGAUAUUGAAACCAGUGACUAUCCAGGGACUGGUGCCAAUAAUCACCAUGAUCCAAGACCCCCUGGAAGCUUUUGAAUCUAAGAAAAUGCUACUUAUUAUGUAUUUGUACAAAUUAAAAUGAGGAAAAUUAAAAGAAUAAUUCCUCUAAUUCUUGAGUUUCAUUAAUUAUUUUGCCCUCAAAUAUUGAUCUUUUGUACUGUAUCCAUACUUUUUUUUUUUUUUUUUUUUUUUUUUCGGAUCAUUUUCAGGUUCUUCUUCCUUUCCAUUCAUAUUCUUUUCCCCUUUCUUAGUAAUAUCAUUAUUGGAUUUUCUGUUCAGUUUGGUAAUUUAAAUGUGGAGUAGAUUGCACUGGAGACAGGAGAGGAGAAAGAAUUAUACAGAGAAAGAAGAAUGGAUAUUGAAACCAGUGACUAUCCAGGGACUGGUGCCAAUAAUCACCAUGAUCCAAGACCCCCUGGAAGCUUUUGAAUCUAAGAAAAUGCUACUUAUUAUGUAUUUGUACAAAUUAAAAUGAGGAAAAUUAAAAGAAUAAUUCCUCUAAUUCUUGAGUUUCAUUAAUUAUUUUGCCCUCAAAUAUUGAUCUUUUUUUUUUUUUUUUUCCUUUUUUUUUUUUUUUUUUUUUUUUUUUUUUGGAGAACUCGCAUUCACUAUCUCUCGAGUGCACACUGGGUAAACUCUCGAGCUGACGUAAUAGCCUGCAAACAACGCCAAUGAGGUAAAUCGCACUCGGCAAGUCCAAUCAUUUAUGUCGUCUCUUCAUUAUGGUCACACCCAGGGACGAAUCUUGGCUUCGAGUUCAGAUAGGGCGGACUGCAAACGUUGAACAUUUACUGUCAACGGUUAAUGCUCGUGAUAGCGAGAUGCGAUCGUUUAUUAAUAUUUAAUUGAAUAAUGUUCAAAAAAUUGUAUGGAUUAGAAUUAAAAGAAUUAGAUACACCACUAAAAUUUGAAUAAAUAGAUAUGGAUUUUCUUU
rnacentral:lncRNA from 1 species